rnacentral:lncRNA from 10 species
CUGGCAGCCUGCCCGUUUGGCAGCCUCUGCCAGAACAGUCCGUGGAGUACAGACUGCUCCCUGUCUUCUCCCAGUCUGGUCCCUGGAGAGACUCCAAUCUCCCUGCUCGAGUCCUUCCCUUUUCUGCUUAUCAUGGGGAAGGAAUAUGCGUCUAGGCGUUAAAUCGCUCGAGUGCCAGCUGGCACAGCACAGCCACAGGGCCCCAGCAGGAGCGGGCCUCAGUUCUCAGAGAGCUGCACAAAGACCAAAGCAAAUUUAUUACUGUUUUUCAGUUUACAAAUGGGAAAUCCACAACAUUGGUCAAGAAGAAAAGGCACCAUGAAUGGGAAGACCGAAGUGCAGACAACCAGCUGGAACAAGGGUGAAAAUAUAGGAGAUUACGAUCCAUUCCUGGGUGGACGGCCAGCGUUCCAUCUUCACUAACACGAUAUAGUUGAAGAGCAUCAGGUAUCCGAUAUACGCCAGCUGUAAGGAGACACAAUACAGUGCUCUGGCUGUUCAGGCCCAGGAGCCCCAGCAUCAGCCAAGGCCACUGCACAGCAGCACAGAGCAGGGUCAGCAAGCAGGACACAGACUUUAUGACAAAAGGAACUUGAAGGUGCUAAACUAACAAAAGAAUUAGAAAAGACAGUAAUACUUGAAGGAUUAUAAUAUGCAAUCUUCCUUUUGACCUGUACAUGUAUCUCUGGGGCUCUGGUGCUUCGUUUAAAUCUAUGUGUCAUGAUGCAUCAUUUCGCCUUGCAGUUACCCAUUUUUGUGUGUUUUCUUGGCUAAAAAGGGAGCCUUGGCUGUCAGUGGCGGCUCUUGCUCAGGCGUGGACCUUAGGUUCUUAAACUAGGGCAGCACAGUGGAUUUUUGCCUCACGAAUGCCAGGCAGAAUAAGUGUCUGUGAGAAGCAAAGGAAGAGGAAGACACAUGUAACACCUGUAAAUUGGUCAAACCAACAUAAAAAUAGCCCAGGCUUAAAGUGCUUCGCUUGUCAGUGCCCUGGGAGGGUCUUACCUGUUUUCAUUUCACCACUUUCCUGUCCUAAUCAAGUUAAGAUAAGAUAUUCCUUCCUGGUGUCUGCUUCAUUGAAACAACACAAGAAAAGACAACACAGUUUACAGAAAGGAAAGGGUCCGUGUGGCCUUUUGUGGACGGGUGUGGGGUUUAAUCCCCAAGAGGCUCUGGCUCGUGGGGUUGAAUCCUGAUGUGACUGGCUGAAUUGCUGGAUGUCUGGGAAGAACUCCCUAGGGUUUGGUGACUGCUCCUGGAAGAUUCAGUUGUGUCAAGGGUCUCACUCUCGUCACCCAGGCUGGAGUGCAGUGGCAUUGUGAUCUCGGCUCAUUGUAGCAUUGACUUCCUGGGCUCAGAUGGAUACCUGAAAUAGGCUCUCAAAACAAGCAGGGUCUAGGAGCCAGUUGGACCCCUGCCUCCUUUCUUCUUGGACCAGAAGAGGACCCAAUCUGCUCCUAGAGAAACUUGCUACGAUGCAGAAGUGAGGUUAUAUGGAAAUGAAGUGUGUCCUACCUUUCAGAAACUUGGGAGAGUAGGAGAGACCAUUUUUGAAAAUCUGGUGAGAAAUACUCUUACAGAGAAAAACACAGCCCAAAGCACAUGGGACCUUCAAUCUGAAAUUGAAUUGUACUGUUAAGCAUGUCUGGUGAUUCAAAAGACUGGCAUACCUUAUUUCCAGUCACUUCCUCGAGGCCUGGGCUUUGUCAAUAUGUGAAGAUGAAUUUUGGAGAAUCAUGUAAACACAAUUGAACAGAUCUGGGGGAUCCAGUCUGAUGGGUUUGCUGAGGCCAAUCCAGUCAGCCACGCAGAAGUGUGCUGGACACACAGGCCCCACCACCCCCCGCCAAAGAGGCAGCCUCCCAACAAGCUGCCAAUGACAUAAGCAAAGCAGCGUGUCUCAAGUGUCUCCAAUCAUAAGAUUCGCCUGGGAAGCUGGUUAAACUAACACAGCCUCUUAGGCUCCUUCCUGAAGACUGGAUUCCAUGGGUCUAUGAUGGGGCUAGAAAUUUGCAUUUCUAACAAAACUCCCUUGUCAUCAUGGACGUUUUAGAGAUAUUGAUACUAUUAUUUCUACUGAUUUCUGCUCUCGGGAGUCUGUAAACUUUUUCUGCAAAUGGCCAACUGGUUAACUUUUAAGGCUUUGUAGAACCGAUAGUCUCUCUCUGUCUCUCACUACUCAUCAACUUGAUGUGGUAGCACAAAAGCAGUCAGUCAGCCUAUUGCUAAUGGUAAAUGAGAUUUAGCCUAAAGCUGCCUCCUUAAGUUCGGCCUGAAGUUUUCUCUGUACAUUGUGAACUAUAACAAAUGAAGGUGUAACAAGACCAAUCACCGAGUUUCGGUCAAUCAAAUGUAGCCAACUGCUCAAACUGUGUUCAAAUAAGGCAAACGCUGAGCUGUAACCAAUCCAGCUGUUUCUGUACCUCACUUCCGUUUUCUGUAUGCCACUUCCCUUUUUCUGUCCAUAAAUCUUCCACCACGUGGCCCUGCCAGAGUCUCUGAGCCUACUCUGGCUUGGAAGACUGCCCAAUUCACGAAUCGUUCAUUUGCUCAAUUAAACUCCUUUAAAUUUAUUCGGCUCAAGUUUUUCUUUUAACAGAAAUCAAGAGUCUGCCUGUGUUCCAAUUAUUUAUGGACACUAAAAUUUGAAUAUGUGUUUCAAGUAUUCCUUUUCAAAUUUUAUUAAAAAUGUAAAAACCAUUCUCAGUUCGCAGGCCACAAUCACAGGCCAUGGGUUGAAUUUGGCUCAAAAGCUGUAGUUUGCCAAGCCCUGUUCUAAGCUAACAGUUGGGGAAUCAUAAUAUAAAAGGAAGGACAGACCUGGGUGUGAAAUAGCUGCAAAAAUAUUAUCUCGGGCUGGGCGCAGUGGUUAUUGCCUGUAAUCCCAGCACUUUGGUAGGCUGAGGCAGGCCCAUAGCUUGAGGCCAGCAGUUCAAGACCAGCCUGGCCAACGUGGCAAAACCCCAUCUCUACUAAAAAUACAAAAAUUAAUUAGCCAGGUGUGGUGGUGAACACCUGUAAUCCCAGCUACUCGGGAGGCUGAGACAUGAGACUCACUUGAAUCCAGGAGAUGGAGGUUGCAGUGAGCCAAGAUUGUACCACUGCACUCCAGCCUAGGUGACAGAGUAAGAGUUUGUCUCCUAAAUAAAUAAAUAUUAUCUUGAUAAAAUAGUUGUUAGGAUUACAAAGAGUACUUAAAUAAUAGUACCUAGAACAUUGCCUCAAACUUAGUAGGUGCUCAAUAAAAGAAAGAUAUUAUUUUUGUUGAGUGGAUGUAUGAACACAACACUGAUUAUCUAUUGCUGGGCAACGUGAAUAGCCUAGAAGAAACAAUAGUCACAGUUACAUUGUACUUAUAUGUCAAGGAACUGUUCUAAGUGCUUUACAUGUUUUAACACAUUUAAUCUUGAUUAAAUCCUAUAAAAUCGGAACUACUAUUAUUGGCAUCUUAAGAAAACUGUGGACAGAAGGGGAAAUUAAGUUGUUUGAGGGCACAUGGUAAGAGGUGCAGAUGGGAUUCCCACCCAGGCUGUCUGAUUCCAAAGUCCAUGCUUGUCACCACUAAGCUGUUUUCUGCAAGGUUAAAAAUAAUAUAGAGC